rnacentral:rRNA from 1 species
UAGGGAAUAUUAGUAAUGGGCGAAAGCCUGAACUAGCAACGCCGCGUGUGCGAAGAAGGCCUUCGGGUUGUAAAGCACUUUUUGAGAGGAUGAGGAAGGACGGUACUCUCAGAAUAAGUCUCGGCUAACUACGUGCCAGCAGCCGCGGUAACACGUAGGAGGCGAACGUUAUCCGGAUUUACUGGGCGUAAAGCGCGUGUAGGUGGUUUGGUAAGUAGGGCGUGAAAGCUCCUGGCUCAACUGGGAGAGGCCGUUCUAAACUGCC